UCAGAUAUUAAAGGUUGAAAUAGAGGAUGGUGCACAAAGCGCCCUAAAAGCAUUUUUAAACCUCCCUAACACCCAAACUAUUAAGUGAAAAUGCAUUGCCUAUUAGUAAACUGGGUCUCUCACACCACAAAAUUAGGAAUUUAGAGGAAUUGAAGGAGUUCAAAAAUUCACUGUAAGAUGAUGAUUACUUUGACCAGUACUUAACUUUGAUUGUACAUCUUGGAGAUAUUAU